UACAGAGACUGCAAGCGUUAUUCGGAUUCACUGGGCGUAAAGGGUGCGCAGGCGGCCAAGUGUGUGAGGCGUGAAAGCCCGGGGCUUAACCCCGGAAUUGCACCUCAAACUACAUGGCUAGAGCAUUGGAGAGGGUAGCAGAAUUCACGGUGUAGCAGUGAAAUGCGUAGAUAUCGUGAGGAAUACCAGAGGCGAAGGCGGCUACCUGGACCAGCACUGACACUGAGGCACGAAAGCGUGGGGAGCAAACAGG
rnacentral:rRNA from 1 species